rnacentral:rRNA from 1 species
GAUGAACGCUGGCGGCGUGCCUAAUACAUGCAAGUCGAGCGAACAGAUGAGAAGCUUGCUUCUCUGAUGUUAGCGGCGGACGGGUGAGUAACACGUGGGUAACCUACCUAUAAGACUGGGAUAACUCCGGGAAACCGGGGCUAAUACCGGAUAAUAUUUUGGACCGCAUGGUUCAAUAGUGAAAGACGGUUUCGGCUGUCACUUAUAGAUGGACCCGCGCCGUAUUAGCUAGUUGGUAAGGUAACGGCUUACCAAGGCGACGAUACGUAGCCGAGCUGAGGGGGUGGUCGGCCACACUGGAACUGAGACACGGUCCAGACUCCUACGGGAGGCAGCAGGAGGGAAUCUUCCGCAAUGGGCGAAAGCCUGACGGAGCAACGCCGCGUGAGUGAUGAAGGUCUUCGGAUCGUAAAACUCUGUUGUUAGGGAAGAACAAAUUUGUUAGUAACUGAACAAGUCUUGACGGUACCUAACCAGAAAGCCACGGCUAACUACGUGCCAGCCGCCGCAGUAA